CACGUUUUUAAACAUCCUUUUGUGUGUAAGUGUGCAUUAGUACAUGCUAACGAUAUUCAAAAAGUACAUACCUCAAAGAAAACGAUGACGCGAGUUAUCGUCUCUAACGUUCGAGGACUACAAAAAACACUCGGAUUGUAGGCAACAGUUUACUUCCUGGGAUUGGUGACGUAGAUAAGACCAACAUUAUCAUAGUUCAGCCCUCUCUGCUUUGCUUGGGUACGCCCUCAAAGACGGGGGUGGGGAGCGCCGAGUCAGAAGAGAGCUAAAAUGGCGGAGGUUGUGAGUUCCUGCUUUGACCCUGUUUGCAAGCUCUUGUUUCAUUGUUUAAGCGAUUAAAUCUCUCGAGUAGACGCUGUCUCUUUAGAUGCAAGGGCAAAAUAGCACUUUAUGGACUUCCACAGAGGACAUCAUGUUUAAUACGGUUCCGGAAAAAUCCAGUCAGAAGUUGUUCACGGAGUUUUCACAAUAACUGCUUCUCAUGAACCGAAGCUGGAUUUGCGCGAAGUCUCCUCUUGAAAGUUGGAUUACUGUGCACUUCUGGAUCACAGGCUAUUCACAGCUGGACACAUCCUUCUACACUGUAUGCAAACAUGCAACAUCAUAACACACAGUACAAGGAGUCAGACUGGCAUAUGAGGAGCAAAGGAACCCAGGCAGUAGCAUCGUUUCACAAUGUUUCCAUCACCAUCAUCAGUGGAUGCCUUUGCUGUCCGUAGCCUGAGAUUUCAGAUUUGCAGCAAAAAAAAAAUUAUUUUCUCAUUUAUUGGAAUGCUGUGCAGGUAUUUGUACCUUGCAGCCAUCCAUUACAAUGUCACCAAGCCGUAACAAAAGCAGGAGAGGGAAAGUACAAGGCUGUGUUCCCAAAACACACAAGUGACAUACCUUAUGUGGAGGAUGUGAUCAGGCUUGUGUUUGAUGAGGUAUUUGAAGAUAAGCUGAAGGAAGCCCUGAUUCCAAUGGACCUGGCAUCACAGUUUGAGAGACCUUCAAAGGAGGACGUGAUUGCAUGCCAUCUUCAGUGCA